CACACUUUCUUUGUAGUUUGAUUUGAGUCAUAAUUUUAACAAACAUGCCAUCAUUUUAAACUGUUAAAUUGUUUAAUCUGAAAUAUUAAGACCAGUUUGAAUCAUUUUUCAGACGUUGUUCGGCUGUAGGCCUUUCAAUCUCGCACAAAUUGUAUUGCUGAUUUAGUCGCACGAAUGGUCACGAAUGGUCACUGGAGUUCACACUAGUCCCUUGAAAAAUUAGGAGAACCAGAUGUAGUUUCUCAGGUUGAUAUAUUAAGAAUUUCUAAAUGCAAAUCAGAAAGUGUGGUGACGUCAAGGACAGGAGUUAUUUGAAUAGAGUUAAAAUGGUUACUUUUUCUUUGGAUUUGAUGGAAUGUUGCAGAGGAGCUUUUCACUUCAGCUAAAAAAAACAACAGCAGUUGAGACAGGAUACAGGAAGGAUAUCAAGCUGCCCAGAAAAUUUGAUGAUUUAAACGUUUUGACAAAGUCUAACAUUAUCAAAGCACUC
rnacentral:lncRNA from 1 species